GAUGAACGCUGGCGGCGUGCCUAAUACAUGCAAGUCGAGCGAACAGACGAGGAGCUUGCUCCUCUGACGUUAGCGGCGGACGGGUGAGUAACACGUGGAUAACCUAACUAUAAGACUGGGAUAACUUCGGGAAACCGGAGCUAAUACCGGAGAAUAUAUUAAACCGCAUGGUUCAAUAGUGAAAGACGGUUUUGCUGUCACUUAUAGAUGGAUCCGCUCCGCAUUAGCUAGUUGGUAAGGUAACGGCUUACCAAGGCGACUAUGGUUAGCCGACCUGAGAGGGACGAUGAGUAGCCGGGCAGUGAGACACGUCCCAGACACUUACGGGGGGCAGCAGUAGGGACUCCUACGCAAUGGGCGAAUGCGGGAUGUUGCACAGUCGCGGGAGUGAUGAUGGUCCUAUGACGGGUAAGCGCUGUUAUUAUGGAAGAAGAAAUGUGUAAGUAACUAUGAACGUAUUGACGGUACCGAAGGAGAAAGCCACGGCUAACUACGUG
rnacentral:rRNA from 1 species